rnacentral:rRNA from 1 species
GACAGAGGGUGCAAACGUUGUUCGGAAUUACUGGGCGUAAAGCGUACGUAGGCGGCUUUGUAAGUUAGAGGUGAAAGCCCAGAGCUCAACUCUGGAAUUGCCUUUAAGACUGCAUCGCUUGAAUCGUGGAGAGGUUAGUGGAAUUCCGAGUGUAGAGGUGAAAUUCGUAGAUAUUCGGAAGAACACCAGUGGCGAAGGCGACUAACUGGACACGUAUUGACGCUGAGGUACGAAAGCGUGGGGAGCAAACAGG